AUUGAACGCUGGCGGCAGGCCUAACACAUGCAAGUCGAGCGGAUGAGAGGAGCUUGCUUCUCGAUUCAGCGGCGGACGGGUGAGUAAUGCCUAGGAAUCUGCCUGGUAGUGGGGGACAACGUUUCGAAAGGAACGCUAAUACCGCAUACGUCCUACGGGAGAAAGCAGGGGACCUUCGGGCCUUGCGCUAUCAGAUGAGCCUAGGUCGGAUGAGCUAGUUGGUGAGGUAAUGGCUCACCAAGGCGACGAUCCGUAACUGGUCUGAGAGGAUGACCAGUCACACUGGAACUGAGACCCGGUCCAGACUCCUACGUGAGGCAGCAGUGGCGGAUAUUGGACAAUGGGCGAAAGCCUGAUCCAGCCAUGCCGCGUGUGUGAAGAAGGUCUUCGGAUUGUAAAGCACUUUAAGUUGGGAGGAAGUGUUGUAGAUUAAUACUCUGCGAUUUUGACGUUACCGACAGAAUAAGCACCGGCUAACUCUGUGCCAGCAGCCGCAGUAAUAC
rnacentral:rRNA from 1 species